AAAGUUAGACACUUUUUCUAAAUAAAACGAAAGGAGGUGUCAUGAUUGCCAGGUUUAUUCUCCAUAGUUAUAUUGUCGGUUUAGAUGGUUGGAUUUUCAAUCCUUUCCUUGCUUGGUUUAGGUAUUAGUACUCUGAAAGCGGACCUUUCAAAAAAUAUGAACCUGUACCUCUCUCUGUCUCACUCCACACCUCUGUUUAUCGUAUCACCCCACACAGUGGCGGGAGGAGAGGAUUAUAUUUCAGGGAAUGAUUUGUCAGUUUAGGAGGUAAUAAUGGAUUUGGGCUGAGAGCUAAACAAACAGAACUCUCUCACUGAUCAAGAGAGGCGAUAAGAGGAGAGGAGGGGAGAGAGAGAAGGGAGAGAGGAGAGGAGAGGAAAGAGAGGAAAGAGAGGUGAGAAGAGUAGAGAGAAGAGAGAGGAGAGGAGAGGUGAGGAGAGUAGAGAGUAGAGAGAGGAGCGGAGCGGAGAGGUGAGGAGAGGUGAGGAGAGUAGAGAGAAGAGAGAGGAGAGAGGAGCGGAGAGGAGAGUAGAGAGUAGAGAGAAGAGAGAGGAGCGGAGAGGAGCGGAGAGGAGAGGUGAGGAGAGAAGAGAGAGGAGCGGAGAGAGGUGAGGAGAGUAGAGAGUAGAGAGAAGAGAGAGGAGCGGAGAGGUGAGGAGAGUAGAGAGAAGAGAGAGGAGCAGAGAGGAGAGGUGAGGAGAGUAGAGAGUAGAGAGAGGAGCGGAGCGGAGAGGAGAGUAGAGAGAAGAGAGAGGAGAGGAGAGGUGAGGAGAGGUGAGGAGAGUAGAGAGUACAGAGAAGAGAGAGGAGAGGUGAGGAGAGUAGAGAGUAGAGAGAGGAGCGGAGAGGUGAGGAGAGUAGAGAGAGGAGCGGAGAGGUGAGGAGAGUAGAGAGAAGAGAGAGGAGCGGAGAGGAGAGGAGAGGUGAGGAGAGUAGAGAGAAGAGAGAGGAGCGGAGAGGAGAGGAGAGGAGAGUAGAGAGAGGAGCGGAGAGGAGAGUAGAGAGAAGAGAGAGGAGCGGAGAGGAGAGGUGAGGAGAGUAGAGAGUAGAGAGAGGAGCGGAGAGGAGAGUAGAGAGAAGAGAGAGGAGCGGAGCGGAGAGGAGAGUACAGAGAAGAGAGAGGAGCGGAGAGGAGAGGUGAGGAGAGUAGAGAGAGGAGCGGAGAGGAGAGUAGAGAGAAGAGAGAGGAGCGGAGAGGAGAGUAGAGAGUACAGAGAAGAGAGAGGAGCGGAGAGGAGAGUAGAGAGAAGAGAGAGGAGCGGAGAGGAGAGGAGAGGUGAGGAGAGUAGAGAGAAGAGAGAGGAGAGGAGAGGUGAGCAGAGUAGAGAGAAGAGAGAGGAGCGGAGAGGAGAGGAGAGGUGAGGAGAGUAGAGAGAAGAGAGAGGAGAGGAGAGGAGCGGAGAGGAGAGGAGAGGAGAGGAGAGGAGAGGAGAGUAGAGAGAAGAGAGAGGAGCGGAGAGGAGAGGUGAGGAGAGUAGAGAGUAGAGAGAGGAGAGGUGAGGAGAGUACAGAGAAGAGAGAGGAGCGGAGAGGAGAGGAGAGGAGAGUAGAGAGUAGAGAGAGGAGAGAGGAGAGGAGAGGAGAGGAGAGUAGAGAGUACAGAGAAGAGAGAGGAGAGGUGAGGAGAGUAGAGAGUACAGAGAAGAGAGAGGAGAGGUGAGGAGAGGUGAGGAGAGUAGAGAGUACAGAGAAGAGAGAGGAGAGGUGAGGAGAGUAGAGAGUACAGAGAAGAGAGAGGAGAGGAGAGUAGAGAGUAGAGAGAGGAGAGAGGAGCGGAGAGGAGAGGUGAGGAGAGUAGAGAGUAGAGAGAGGAGCGGAGAGGAGAGUAGAGAGUACAGAGAAGAGAGAGGAGCGGAGAGGAGAGGUGAGGAGAGUAGAGAGUACAGAGAAGAGAGAGGAGCGGAGAGGAGAGGAGCGGAGAGGAGAGUAGAGAGUAGAGAGAAGAGAGAGGAGCGGAGAGGAGAGGAGAGGAGAGGAGAGGAGAGUAGAGAGUAGAGAGAGGAGAGAGGAGCGGAGAGGAGAGGAGAGGUGAGGAGAGUAGAGAGUAGAGAGAAGAGGGAGGAGCGGAGAGGAGAGGUGAGGAGAGAGAGGAGCGGAGCGGAGAGGUGAGGAGAGGAGAGGAGAGUAGAGAGAAGAGAGAGGAGAGAGGAGCGGAGCGGAGAGGAGAGUAGAGAGUAGAGAGAAGAGAGAGGAGCGGAGAGGAGAGGUGAGGAGAGUUUGGCUGUAAAGCUGGGCAGCUGGUUGAAGAAUGUGUGUGGGGGGGUGAUGGGGUGCAGGGGUUUAGGGAUGAGGGUACCCCACCACAAGGAUAUGUAAGAGAGCUGGACACUUAAAACCCCUAGUAGUGCUGGAGGUAAUUGUUUCCAUCCUAGUUGCCAGACUGAAAGGGUAGAGGGUUGCCAGAUUGAAGAGGUAGAGGGUUGCAAGAUUAAGGGUAAAGUUGUCACCAGUGCCAUGGCUGUCAGCGAUAUAUCAUUAGUCUUGGUCCAAAUACAACUGU
ensembl:lncRNA